AUUGAACGCUAGCGGGAUGCUUUACACAUGCAAGUCGAACGGAGUGGCGGACGGGUGAGUAAUAUAUCGGAACGUGCCCAGUAGCGGGGGAUAACUACUCGAAAGAGUGGCUAAUACCGCCUACUCUCGGACCGGCCGAUAUGGGAUUAGCUAGUUGGGGGGGUAACGGCUCACCAAGGCCACGAGCCGUAGCUGGUUUGAGAGGACGACAAGCCACACUGGGACGGAGACACGGCCCAGACUCCUACGUGAGGCAGCAGUGGGGAAUUUUGGACAAUGGGGGAAACCCUGAUCCAGCCAUCCCGCGUGUAUGAUGAAGGCCUUCGGGUUGUAAAGUACUUUUGGCAGAGAAGCGGUAUCUGCAGAAUAAGCACCGGCUAACUACGUGCCAGCAGCCGCGGUAAUUC
rnacentral:rRNA from 1 species